rnacentral:rRNA from 1 species
UAGGGAAUCUUCGGCAAUGGACGGAAGUCUGACCGAGCAACGCCGCGUGAGUGAAGAAGGUUUUCGGAUCGUAAAGCUCUGUUGUAAGAGAAGAACGAGUGUGAGAGUGGAAAGUUCACACUGUGACGGUAUCUUACCAGAAAGGGACGGCUAACUACGUGCCAGCAACCGCGGUAAUACGUAGGUCCCGAGCGUUGUCCGGAUUUAUUGGGCGUAAAGCGAGCGCAGGCGGUUAGAUAAGUCUGAAGUUAAAGGCUGUGGCUUAACCAUAGUAGGCUUUGGAAACUGUUUAACUUGAGUGCAAGAGGGGAGAGUGGAAUUCCAUGUGUAGCGGUGAAAUGCGUAGAUAUAUGGAGGAACACCGGUGGCGAAAGCGGCUCUCUGGCUCGUAACUGACGCUGAGGCUCGAAAGCGUGGGGAGCAAACAGGAUUAGAUACCCUGGUAGUCCACGCUGUAAACGAUGAGUGCUAGGUGUUAGACCCUUUCCGGGGUUUAGUGCCGUAGCUAACGCAUUAAGCACUCCGCCUGGGGAGUACGACCGCAAGGUUG